AUUGAACGCUGGCGGAAUGCUUUACACAUGCAAGUCGAACGGUAGAGGGGGCAACCCCUUGAGAGUGGCGAACGGGUGAGUAAUAUAUCGGAACGUGCCCAGUCGUGGGGAUAACGUAGCGAAAGCUACGCUAAUACCGCAUACGAUCUACGGAUGAAAGCGGGGGAUCGCAAGACCUCGCGCGAUUGGAGCGGCCGAUAUCCGAUUAGGUAGUUGGUGAGGUAAAGGCUCACCAAGCCGACGAUCUGUAGCUGGUCUGAGAGGACGACCAGCCACACUGGGACUGAGACACGGCCCAGACUCCUACGGGAGGCAGCAGUGGGGAAUUUUGGACAAUGGGCGCAAGCCUGAUCCAGCAAUGCCGCGUGCAGGAUGAAGGCCUGGUUGUAAC
rnacentral:rRNA from 1 species